GCAGAGACAGCUGCUCCUUUGGUAGGAAACUUCCCUUGCACAAACUUUCACCCGGAGGAAUAAGUUUGUAGCUCAAAGAGGAGCUAGAAACCCAGAGGCACGAAAGGGAACAAACAGGAAUGCCUUGGAAUGCCAC